GAUGAACGCUGGCGGCGUGCCUAAUACAUGCAAGUCGAGCGAACGGACGAGAAGCUUGCUUUUCUGAUGUUAGCGGCGGACGGGUGAGUAACACGUGGAUAACCUACCUAUAAGACUGGGAUAACUUCGGGAAACCGGAGCUAAUACCGGAUAAUAUUUUGAACCGCAUGGUUCAAAAGUGAAAGACGGUCUUGCUGUCACUUAUAGAUGGAUCCGCGCUGCAUUAGCUAGUUGGUAAGGUAACGGCUUACCAAGGCAACGAUGCAUAGCCGACCUGAGAGGGUGAUCGGCCACCCUGGAACGGAGACACGGCCCAGACGCCUACGGGAGGCAGCAGUAGGGAAUCUUCCGCAAUGGGCGAAAGCCUGACGGAGCAACGCCGCGUGAGUGAUGAGGGUCUUCGGAUCGUAAACCUCUGUUAUUAGGGAAGAACAUAUGUGUAAGUAACUGUGCUCAUCUUGACGGUACCUAAUCAGAAAGCCACGGCUAACUACGUG
rnacentral:rRNA from 1 species